AGAGUUUGAUCCUGGCUCAGGACGAACGCUGGCGGCGUGCCUAACACAUGCAAGUCGAACGGAAAAUUGAGCUUCGGUUCAAUUUUUAGUGGCGAACGGGUGAGUAACGCGUAGGCAACCUGCCCUUUAGACGGGGACAACAUUCCGAAAGGGAUGCUAAUACCGGAUGUGACGCUCCUAUCGCAUGACGGGAGCGUGAAAGAUGGCCUCUACAAGUAAGCUAUCGCUAAAGGAUGGGCCUGCGUCUGAUUAGCUAGUUGGUAGUGUAACGGACAACCAAGGCGAUGAUCAGUAGCCGGUCUGAGAGGAUGAACGGCCACAUUGGGACUGAGACACGGCCCAGACUCCUACGGGAGGCAGCAGUGGGGAAUAUUGCACAAUGGGGGAAACCCUGAUGCAGCGACGCCGCGUGAGCGAAGAAGUAUUUCGGUAUGUAAAGCUCUAUCAGCAGGGAAGAAAAUGACGGUACCUGACUAAGAAGCCCCGGCUAACUACGUGCCAGCAGCCGCGGUAAUACGUAGGGGGCAAGCGUUAUCCGGAUUUACUGGGUGUAAAGGGAGCGUAGACGGCAAGGCAAGUCUGAUGUGAAAACCCAGGGCUUAACCCUGGGACUGCAUUGGAAACUGUCUGGCUCGAGUGCCGGAGAGGUAAGCGGAAUUCCUAGUGUAGCGGUGAAAUGCGUAGAUAUUAGGAGGAACACCAGUGGCGAAGGCGGCUUUCUGGACGACAACUGACGCUGAGGCGCGAAAGUGUGGGGAGCAAACAGGAUUAGAUACCCUGGUAGUCCACACCGUAAACGAUGAUUACUAGGUGUGGGGGGUCUGACCCCCUCCGUGCCGGAGUUAACACAAUAAGUAAUCCACCUGGGGAGUACGACCGCAAGGUUGAAACUCAAAGGAAUUGACGGGGGCCCGCACAAGCAGUGGAGUAUGUGGUUUAAUUCGAAGCAACGCGAAGAACCUUACCUGGGCUUGACAUCCCUGGAAUCGAGUAGAGAUACUUGAGUGCCUUCGGGAAUCAGGUGACAGGUGGUGCAUGGUUGUCGUCAGCUCGUGUCGUGAGAUGUUGGGUUAAG
rnacentral:rRNA from 1 species